rnacentral:rRNA from 1 species
AUGGUUGCAGGUGGUGCCACUCACAAGAGACCUCCUGCUGAUGACAUAAUGAUGCACCAAGAGGAGCCUGCAAACACGGAUGCAAAAAAUGAUCAUCACAUUGCCAUCUAUUUCAUCGACUCACCCCAACAAACAGACGACAGAUUGAUCCUGAGCGACAAGACCAAUGGCCAGGAGGAUUACUCAUUUCAGCACCACCUGCAAACACCAAGCUCGCCGCCCUGCUACUCCACCGACCACAUGCUCCGCGCUGACCAAAGACACUACAACAGCAACAAUGGCUCCCCUUCUUCUUCCCAGCAGCAGCAGCAGCAUGAGCGCUCUUCUUCCCAGCAGCAGCAGCAGCAUGAGCGCUCUUCUAACCCACCAAGAAGAAGACAGUCGAGAAGGCGACGCUUGGCGGCGGCGGUGCCGUUCGUGAGGAAGAUCAAGUGGGGACCAUUGUGGGAUAAGUCCAAGGAGUGGAUCAAGAACCCCAUGAACAUGGCCCUCUUCGUGUGGAUCGUCGCCGUGGGCAUCUCCGGCGCCAUCCUCUUCAUGGUCAUGACCGGGAUGCUCAACGCCGUGCUGCGGACCAAGUCGCAGAAGGACACGUGGUUCGAGGUCAACAACCAGAUACUGAACGCAUUGUUUACCUUGAUGUGCCUGUACAACCACCCCAGGAGGUUCUACCACCUGGCGCUGCUGUGCCGGUGGAGGGCCGGCGACAUGGCCGCGCUCCGGGAGGUCUACUGCAAGGGCGGCACCGUCAAGCCCAACGAGAGGAGGCACAUGAUGGUUGUGGUCUUGCUGCUCCACCUCAACUGCUUGGCGCAGUACGCGCUGUGCGGCCUCAACCUCGGCCUCUCCAGGAACCGGCGGCCUCCCGUGGGGGUCGGCCUCACCGUGACGGUUGCGAUAUGCGCCCCGGCCGUUGCCAGCAUGUACAACAACCUCAGCCCCCUGGGGAAAGACUACGAGGUCCAGGCCGCCGACGACGAGGAGCAGGAGUCUUCUUCUUCGGGCUCGCGGCAGCGGCUCCAGCACAAGACCGUCGAGAGGAGGUACUCCUUCUCCCCUUCUCCGCCGCAGCGACAAGGACUAGAAAUGGGCGCUGCCGGUGCCGUCGUCGUUGAGGUGGGAGAAGAAGAAGAAGGCACCGUGGCAGUGGCGGCGCCUGAGUGGUCGGGCGGGCUGGUGUGGGACCUGUGGGAGGACAUCUCGCUGGCGUACCUGUCGCUGUUCUGCAGCUGCUGCGUGUUCGGGUGGAACGCCGGGCGUCUGGGGUUCGGCAAUGCGUACGUGCACGCGGCGACUUUCAUCCUGCUGUGCCUGGCGCCCUUCUUCAUCUUCACCCUGGCGGCCAUCAACAUCGACGACGAGGCGGCCAGGCUCGCGCUCAGCCUCGGCGGCACCCUGCUGUGCGUCUUAGGGCUGCUGUACGGUGGGUUCUGGAGGAUCCAGAUGCGCCGCAGGUUCGGGCUUCCCGGCAGCGGGUUUUGCUGUGGCAGGCCGGACGUGACGGACUGCUUCCAGUGGCUGUGCUGCUGCCCCUGCGCCCUCGCCCAGGAGGUCAGGACCGCCGACGCCUACGACAUUGUGCACCACAGGAUGGUGUCUCGCCGUCAAAGCCAAAGCCGCCGCGGAGAUGACGCCGGCGAAGAAGAAGCCAGCAGCUCCCGGGUGCAGAUGCAGCAGCCACUGAGGUUUGCAGGUGUUUUCGCUUCAGAUCAUGGUGGGGUGACCAACACCAACAGCAAUUCAGAUACCAGUAACACGAGUACAACACCCCCUGCGCUGCCUGUUGGCAUACAGAGACAGUAA